rnacentral:rRNA from 1 species
GACGAACGCUGGCGGCGUGCUUAACACAUGCAAGUCGAACGGAAAGGCCUCUUUCGGGGGGUACUCGCGUGGCGAACGGGUGAGUAACACGUGAGUAACCUGCCCUUGACUUUGGGAUAACUUCCGGAAACUGGGGCUAAUACCGGAUAGGAGCUCCUGCUGCAUGGUGGGGGUUGGAAAGGUUCGGCGGUUGGGGGUGGACUCGCGGCUUAUCAGCUUGUUGGUGGGGUAGUGGUUUACCAAGGUUUUGACGGGUAGGCGGCCUGAGAGGGUGACCGGCCACAAGGGGCCUGAGAUACGGCCCAGAAUCCUACGGGAGGCAACAGUGGGAAAUAUUGCACAAUGAGUGGAAGCCAGAUGCAGCAACGCCGUGUGCGGGAUGACGGCCUUCGAGUUAUAAACCGCUUUCGCUCAUGACGAAGAUUUGUGUGACGGUAGUGAGUAAAGAGGCACCGCCUAAUUACGU